UACAGAGGUGGCGAGCGUUGUUCGGAAUCACUGGGCUUAAAGGGUGCGCAGGCGGUCGGAAGGGUGUCUUGUGAAAUCCCUCGGCUUAACCGAGGAAUUGCGAGGCAAACCGUCCGGCUUGAGGCAGGUAGGGGUCGAUGGAACUCUGGGUGGAGCGGUGAAAUGCGUAGAUAUCCAGGGGAACGCCAAUGGCGAAAGCAGUCGACUGGGCCUGUCCUGACGCUGAGGCACGAAAGCCAGGGGAGCAAACGGG
rnacentral:rRNA from 1 species